rnacentral:rRNA from 1 species
GAUGAACGCUGGCGGCGUGCCUAAUACAUGCAAGUCGAGCGAACAGACGAGGAGCUUGCUCCUCUCACGUUAGCGGCGGACGGGAGAGUAACACGUGUAUAACCUACCUAUAAGUCUGGGAUAACUUCGGGAAACGGGCUCUAAUACCGGAUAAUAUAUUGCACCGCAGUGUUCAAUGGUGAAAGACGGUUUUGCUGUCACUUCUAGAGGGAUCCGGGCCGCAUUAGCUAGUUGUUAAGGUAACGGCUUACCAAGGCAACGAUGCGUUGCCGACCUGAGAGAGUGGUCGCCCACAUGGGAGGGUGAACACGGUCCAGACGCCUGCGGGAGGCAGCAGAAGGGAACCGUCCGCAGUGGGCGAGAGCAUGACGGAGCGACGCCGCGUGAGUGAUGAAGGUCUUCGGAGCGUAAAACUCUGUUAUUAGGGAAGAACCAAUGUGUAAGUAACUAUGCACGUAUUGACGGUACCUAAUCAGAAAGCCACGGCUAACUACGUG